CGCCGCCUACAUCGCCCAGGGACGCAGGCCGCCGCUCCCCGCCAACACGAACGACGUCGACACGGUCGCACGGUUCGAGCUGCAUCUCUCCAAGUAUUCCACGAUGCGCUGAACCCUGACGAGAAGGUGCUGGAUUGGGGUCUCGCAACUUCUUCCUCUGCGCCAUAAGAUUCUGAAUGGAUUAUCUGUAUCUUGCACCGCCGCCUCCACAGUGCUCCCUCUCACUGAACCUCAAGAGUUAAGAGUGUUCAUACAUGCUUAGCACUUUUUUUGAGAUACAUAUAUUGUCCGGUUCAACUGAAGAGAAUGAUCAAAUUGAUGAUCCUUCCGCUUAUUCAGGUUUCAAAUAUUGUGCUAUAAGACUUUUCUUGUCAUCUUGUGCUAGCUAGGUUUCAAUUUGUAGGGUGAAUAUCACGAGAGGAUCAGAGUGUACAGUUUGUAAACAAAAAAAAUUCAAGUUCGACCUGCUCUUAUAUAAUCCUUCGCAAUUGCGUUGAAUGUGUGGUGCCUUAGUUUGACCCAUUUUUAUUGCUAAUGAAUUGUGAUUCUGUUUUAAACGAUGAGGCUGGUUUGACACCAGGUGGUGUGGAGGUACCUCGCAGCCUUGUCGACAGGGAAAGUAUGCCAGAAGAGUUUCAGUCAGCCACCCCUAAGGGGCUUCACCCUAAAUGGUGUUACAUGUGGAGUGUUGGCCCUCUCCCGUCAAACACCCACUUUAAGACCCUAUUAUCCCUGAUGACUUACCGAAGUGGAAACGGACAAUGAUUCCUGGGGUGCAAAAAUGGUUUCUGCAAUUGAGGUUGUUGCUGAGAUGGCUGCAUCUCUCCAAGCAUUCCCUCGAUGCUGGAGUGACUUACCGGUGGCGAGUAGCUAGAACGCAGUGACCAAGUAGCUAAAGAGUAUCAAAGCCCUGUGGAGGGUCUUGUCAAUACCGCAGAUCCAUAUGCCUCCCAGCAAGUUGUGGUGCUUUUUUCCCCUGUUGUGGAACUUAAAGCAUAUGCGGACCAGUGACAACCUCGAUGAUAAAAAAAAGUAUGUACCACUUGAAGCAUAUAUUCCUCCCAGCAGAAGAACUUGCAAAGUGUCACCACAGAAGCAAGUCUGCCAAAAAAAGUUGAUUUCGUUGAGAAAUGCGGGCCUGGAAAUUGGAGGAGUACAUCCUGUUGAGAUGAUCUUGCAAUAUCAUUUUCUCACAACUGAAGAUGUUGAGUGAAUCAAAGUCUUCAAUUUAUUGACCAAAGUGGUGAUUAAGAGCUGAUUGCCGUGCUUCUGUAUAGUAAUGAGACGUGCAUUGUUGACCUAGCUCAGACUGUUCUUUACAGCAAUAUAUAUCAUUCGUGCUCAAUCCAGUUUCUUAUUUCAGACAUUUUUUAAUGCUUAUUCUGAAGCAUGGACAUGUAUA